AGGAGUCAAAAGCACCACUCUGAGUUGGGGAAUGGGAAUAUCUGAAGAGCAGUCACUGCCUUGAGACUGGGCCACAGUCACUGGGGCCAUGCUCAGAUCUCGCGAUGUUUGGGCCGUUCCACACGGGAACUAGGGGCAGUUUCUCGCGAUAGCCUGUGCUGAGGGUUCUGUGAGGCAGUAUGUGCUGGUGUGUGUUGGUGUGCUGGUGAACAUGAGCACUAGGAAGUGCUGAGGCUGUCACAGCGGUGGAUCCUGAGGCCUCAAACAUUUUGUGGGACAUUACAAAACUCAUGUCCUCUGUGCCCAUGGAACUUCAUGACUCAAACAACCGUGAUGGAGGCACCAGGCUCACUGGCACUGUGAUGCAAGAGGAAGGACAGAGCGAAGAGGAUAAGUGAGGAAGAGGAGAACAGGGCAAACCCUCUUAAACCCUGCUCAUUGCACUUAGCUCACUGAUGGUAACUGCCCAAAUACUACUCUACAAGGACUCAAGGAUACUCUCUUCCCAAAGCAAGUUUUUGGUUUAUUUAAAGGACAAAAGGUCUGAGUGGAAUGCUUCGUGGCCAACUUUCAGCAGGGUCUUAAAUAUAAUUUCUUCAAGGUGCUGAGAUGAGUGGAGGAAGAAAAAGAGAAGAACUAGAAGCCCCCUUGGGAGUUCUCUUCAUCUUUUCUGCUGAUUUCUGUCCUGUGCUGCAGGGAAGGCAUCUGGAUUCAUGAACCUCUGCAUGUCCCCUUGGGGCCCGCUGCCCAUCCACGUGUGGUGCACCCUGGUCUGGGCACCCACCUCACCCAGACUUCAUUCCAAACCACACCAGAGGCUCAGCCUGACAAGCCCACAGCUGAGCAUUCCUCUGAUCCUUAGUAAACAGCUUACCUAAACCUUGAGAACAACUGUGUUUGUGCUUCUUCCAUGAGUCGCAUGACUGAUCCAUCACCUAAGAUGCAGGUGCUCUGUGUAUCUACCUGAAAAUCUGCCUGUCCUCCCCGGCUCUGUCACCGGAAGAUCCUGGUCAGCACAGAUGAGUCCUUUCCUACUGGAGCCCCACAUCCACUCCCUGACUUUGAUGCAUAGAUAGCCUCCCCAAGCAUAGUAGUACCCCAGGAUUCUGGUGGGUGAAAUUCCCUAAAUUGGCCUCCUAAAACCACUCCUUUUAGAUAAACCUCCAUCCUCAUUCAGAAAAUCCUGCUUUCCUUCCAGCUGUCUUCGUUUUUCCUCCUAAAAGCCACAUUUCAUUAAAAUUUCACACGCUACUUUCUUCUCCCAUAUUUUCAUCCUAAAACUGCUGAAGAAAAAUAUUUCACCCU